rnacentral:lncRNA from 1 species
GCCAUUUUGUGCCGCCGAUCGCUUCCCUUUCCCCUCCCGCCGCCGCCGCCGCUGCGAACAGCCCGCUGCCAAGUCCUCCCUCCGCCUCCGCAGCCCCCCGCCCCGGCACGCCCCGGCCGCGGCUGGGCCCCGAACGGGAAAGCCUGAAGGAACCGUCCCCACCCUCCCGGGGCACGGUGAUACUGAGAUGCGGCGUAGGGGACGGAGGAGAGGAGAGGAGCGCCCGGCCGGCCCGGGGCCGGAGCACUGACCUGCGGCAGCCGGAGGAGAAUGCCGGCGGCCUGGAUGAGCUCGCAGCCCAGGAUGCGUAAGUCCGUCUCACUGGGCAGGUCGAGCCCAUCCUGCAUGGAUGGGGUGGGCGAGAGCCUCUCCUCCGGAAUCAGAGAGUGGUCGAUGGUAAGUGAAACUUCCGAGUACAGGCGAUCGCCGAUCAGGAUCCCUCCCGUCGUGGUCGUCGUCGUGGUCGUCGUCCCGGAGCUGGAGCCGCCCGCGCUUGGGGCGGCCGAUGAGGCGGCUGCGGCAGCAGUAGCUGUCGAAUGAGGCCCGGACGCCAUAGUCUUAGCGAGCCGCACGCAAGCCCAACGCAGCCGGAACCCGAAACAAGACUAACCAGCGUUCUCGGCGCGACGGAUAUUCCCGUGACCGCCGGGUUCUGGGCCGCUUCACGCCGCGUGCGCUUCCGCCCUGACGUCACCACGCCGGGCAGCCGCGCGCCAACUAGUCCCUCCAGGCCGCGCCUCCGCCCUCGGCAUCUGGGCCUGCGAGGGGAGUGUUGGGUGCUGCGACAGACCUUGGGAUCCUCAGAGGCUGAGGAGGCCUUCUCUAGCCAAGGCCGGUCGAAACCACCUUGUUUGUGAUAGCCACACGAAUAACGGAGCUUUACAAGAUCCCUUAUACCCAAAAUAGAGGUGGCAGCAUUGGCUAGCAUCUCUGCGCCCCUUCGCCCUGCAUUCCGGCCUCUUCCUUUAGCCUCGGCGCGGCUUGCGUUCCGCGUGUACCAAGGGAAGUGGCGGCCGACCUGAGCGCGCUUUGGCGGGUGGAAGUGGUGACUUUGUUGUCCUGUGUGGACGAAUGUGUAAUAUAAAGUGACCCUCAAGGAAUCUGGAGAGGGCUGCUUUACAGUAUUUGAAGAACACAGGGCUGUGGACCCUAUCGGUUCCCAAAUGAAAGCUCCCCGGGGAGCGUGUUUUUGCCAGUAUGGGGAAGUAGGGCGGAGGCAUAGGAAUGACCGCGAGAGUGGCUGCUUUCAUAGCUCCGCUUGCGAAACUCCUGCCCGGCCUUUGACACCGCCACGGCUUUCAGUAAUCUGGAAAAUCCCUAGUUUCCAAAAAUAGUCUUAGGGCGAGGACUUGACAGAGGUAAUUUGAUUAUGCCUGGGAGUCUCUAUUCAUACAUGGUUACCUACCGCGGGUAGGGUGAGGUCAACCUCGUGUUUUUUGUUUUUUUUCCUGUGAUAUUAGCUAGCAAUUUCCAGCGUUUCCUGAACCUUGAAGUAAAAACAAUGAUACUGAUCUAAACUACUAGAAUCUAGGUUGGAAGGAAAGGAAUGCAUCACGUUUUACUCUUGACGCUCAGAAAGCGAUACCCCAAAGACAGAGGCUUUAGAAGCUGCCUCAUAAUGCAGGUCCCCCAACCUUGACUUGUUGCUCCCACUUUUCCCAAGUGCAGGGAGGUACUCUCUGAAAUUUCCUUUCCUGACUAGAGAAGCCUCUUUGUAGAAGAAUCAAUCGCAUUCCUCCCCUCGCUGAAAUCUCGUAUCCUAUUUCAAAAAGACUCAGAAAUGCAGCCAUUCCUGGAGGGACUUUUUCACAAGAUUACUCAAAAGAAAAUUAUUUACUAAUUUCUGUCCAUUCAUUGUUCCUAAUAAUCAUUUGCUGCUCCUCAAAAUAAAUGUCUACAUUUCUCAUCUACCCUUUCCCCUAUGAAAAAAAGAUAUAAAAUCUUCUGUACUCCAUUAAGCUACUGGGUAAUCAUCCUCCUGCUUUUACCCCGGUGUUAUGUAUCCCUUUUCUCCUGUUAAUCGCCUGUUAUCAGUUGAUUUUUUUUUUCUUUUUUUUUAGAUAGAGUCUCACUCUGUCGCCCAAGCUGAAGUGCAGUGGCGCGAUCUCGGCUCACUGCAGCCUCCGCCUCCGGGGUUCAAGCGAUUCUCCCACCUCAGCCUCCCCAGUAGCUGGGAUUACAGGCACACACCACCACGUCCAGCUAAUUUUUGUAUUUUUGUAGAGACGGGGUUUUGCCAUGUUGGCUAGGCUGGUCUUGAACUCCUGACCUCAGGUGAUCCGCCCGCCUCGGCCUCCCAAAAUGCUGGGAUUACAGGCAUCCAAAGCGCUGGAAUUACAGGCAUGAGCCACCGCACCCGGCCUUAUCAGUUGAUUAAGUGAACCUUCAGUGGGCAAAGUUGUUUUAAAAUGUACUGAUACUUGAGCCUUGCCUGCAGAGGUUGAUGUCACUGAUUUAAGGUGGGCCCAGCCAGUGGUUCAGUUUUGCCUGUCUUCGAGUGAUUGGAAUGUACAGCCAAGAGAGUGUAAUUAUGGUGCUGGCAGAAGUAUUAACCUAUCUGGAUGUCACUGUCUUCACUUUCUGACUAGGCUGCUUCCAGGGAAUCUUUCCACCUCAAUAUUUAUGAGAUAUCUAUAAUUUUAUAACAAACUUUUAAAGGAGCCUCGGUUUCCUUAAACACAAUUGAUGACACCAGUUUUCUGGUUUUCUUCCAUUUUUGUUUAUAGAGCCAGGGUCUCACUGUGUUGCCCAGGCUGGCCUUGAACUCCUGAACUCAAGGGAUCUUCCCACCUCAGCCACCUGAGUAGCUGGGACUAUAAGUGGCACACCACUGUGCCUGGUCAGUUUUCUGGUUUUGAUAAUCUAUGGUUGUGUGAGAUAUUAUCAUUGGGGAAAGUUGGAGGAAUACAUAGGAGUAGUCUAUCUUUGCAACUUCCAUGUCUUAUUUCCAAAUAAAAAGUAAAAACCCUCAUUGAUUAUGUACUUCAUUAAAACACUGGACUUCAAUGAAAUCAUCACCUAUAUUUGUAAUGACUUGAGAGUAAUAUAAUUUAACUUUUUUUUUGACUUCUGAACUUUUUAUUGGCCUCCUGCUCCCCAAAGGGUACCCUGCUUCUGAUGGCUUAAUGUCUCAGAACUUGGGUGUCGUUGGUCUCAGAUACCACUUUGCCAUCCACUAUCCAGCAGAUAGUGGUCUUUUGGAUGGUUUGCAUGGAGUUGCUGCUGUCCAGGGCAUCACCAAGAUUGAAGUCCUUGCCAUCUUCCAGCAGGCGGCGGUAGGUGGCGAUCUCAGCCUCUAGCUUGACCCUGAUGUUCAGCAGGGCCUCGUACUCCUGGGCCUGGCACUGUCCCUCUGCCCAGGCCUGUGCCAGCUCUGACUCCAGGUGCAGCAGGAUCCCGUUGAGCUGCUCCAUCUGCAGGGCGUGGCAGGCCUCCACCUCCCUCAGGCUGUUCUCCAAGCUGGCCUUCAGAUUUCUCAUGGAGUCCAGGUUGAUCUCCAAGGACUGGACUGUAUGUCUCAGCUCCGUGAGCGUUAUAGCAGCUCCAACCUCGACGGACUGCGUGGUGACCCCUGUGUUGCUCUCCUCAAUCUGUUAAGACCAGUACUUGUCCAGCACCUAUUGGUUCUUCAUGCCAGCUCAUCAUAUUGGGCCCGGAUGUCUGCCAUUAUCUUGGUGAGGUCCUGAGAUUUGGGGACAUCUACCUCCACAGUCAACCCAGAGCUGGCAGUCUGGGCUUGUAGGCCUUUUACUUCCUCUUCGUGGUUCUUCUUCAUGAAGAGCAGCUCCUCCUUGAGAGCCUCAAUCUAUCUCCAGCUGCAGCCGAGUGACAUUAGUGUCAUGGAUUUUGUUCCCAUGGAUGUUGUUCUUCAGAGGCUGGCACGUGGCCAGCUCUGUCUCAUACUUGACUCUAAAGUCAUCAGCAGCAAGAUGGGCAUUGUCAGUCUGCAGAACGCAUUGUCCACAAUAUUUGUGAAGAUCUGAGCCCUCAGGUCCUCAAUGGUCUUGAAAUAAUGGCUCCAGUCUCUGACCUGGGGUCCCUGCUUCUCCAGGUGCUCCCGGAUUUUGCUCUCUAGCCUCCGGUUCUCGGUCUCCAGGCUCCUCACUCUGUCCAGUUUUCCUGACUCUGAUUCUGCGUGGGACAACCAGUGAAAAUUGCAGGUGAAGAGAAGAAAUGCGUAUUUAUUCCUCCACUGGGAAAAAAAAUACCAUCCAAAGCUACAUGACUUGAGAGACAAGGUCUCACUAUGUUGCCCAGGCUGGCCUCGAACUCCCGGGCUUCAGCAGUCCUCCCGCCUCACCCUCCGAUGUAGCUAGGACUACAGGACCGCGACCCGGCGCUGCCUAAGAACUGUUUUUAAACGUGAAAGCCACGGCUAUCAUUUGCUUUUUGCUCUGCUCUUCAUCUUCUGGAUAAACCUCGUAACACACUGCUUGUUUUGGGUGGUAGUCUGCUGCCUACGCCCCGUCAGACAAGUGGCCUGAGUCCCCCGCAACCCCUGCAGGUCCGGCCGCCGGCGCCAAGCCUCAAGGCAUCCAAGCCAGGAACGAUCGCGGUCAGCUCUGCCACGGAACAUGUGCAAGACCCGGCAGCAGGUUCCGGGGGAGGCGAAUUGAUUUCACAACGGUCGAGAAGGAGGACCCCGCCCACUUCGUCAUUUCUCGGAAGCCCAGGGACUCGCCGGAAGAGCGGCUCAAAAGCCGGAAAACUGGCAAAUCCGAGUCUCCCGGCGCAUGCGCGGCGCAAUCGGCUUCGCGUGGUUGCAGUAGAGAGGAUCCCUCCGCCAGCCACUGCAUCCGGCGGCCGGAUCUAACUUACCCGCUAGCGUUUUACCCUUGCGCGGCCGUGGCGUAGGGCGGUCUUUUCCCUUGGUCCUCCGCGGCGCCGCCUCUUGUGACGUAAGCCGCAGAAUCCUCUGUCUUAGUUCGGCUCUAUUGCCGCGAGCUUGACUCUUCCUGGGUCUGAGGAAAAGUAAAAGUAAUUUUGUCAUUUCCUGAAACUUCAAGUUAAACCUUUAAGCUGUUCAUUUCCUAAAAGGGUGAAAACGCGGGCACCCCUCGAGCUAGUUCAUCGCCUUUUAACCUGUGAGUUCUGUUAAAAGGAAGUAACUGCAAAAUGUCUUCGCUGUUAGGUUUCUUUGGAAGUUUUGGGUUGUGUUCAUGCGUUCUCUCGGCGUGUGAACUGGGAGAAAGUGGAGUGCCAGCCAUAUGAAAUGACAACUGUAUAUGGAGGCUGGGAAGUAUAAUGCGCAUUCUGGCUUGAUGAAAUUAAUGAAAUUUUAAUUAAGUUUAAUUUUCAUUUGAAUUACCCAGGAAUAGCAUCUUGAAAGGCGGGGCAUAAAAAGCAGUUAAAGAGCUUCGAGAAACGGUUACUCGUUUUGUAAACUAAAGACCAAAUGAAAAUCCAGCUGCACUAGAAAAGAAAGAAACUUAUAAGGGCCGAAGGUUUUGUCUGCAAUUUACAGCUAAUUAGUCUCAAAGAUUUCUGUGAUUUGCCCAAGAGAGGUGGAGUUGGGGCCACUGCUUUACCCAGGACACCGCCGCGGCCCGCUUGAAUACUGCCGCCGUUAGGACCCGCCGUACCUGGCCGUCCAGGGCCUCUUUUCUUGUCUUCCACUCUCACUUGUCUUUUCUCCCCUUUCCAUGUUUUUGGUUCCUUUCCUGAGUUUCCCUUGUCUCCACUCCCCUGCCCCUUUGCUUCCUCUAUCUCUUUAACUUCUGUUUUCUUGAUGGUGGAGCCAACUUUAGUUUCCCUUAAAAGGCCAUAAAAGGAAAUAGAAUAAUUUUAAAAAUGUCUUUUCAUAAGGCUUGUUUUCUUGUCUUAAGCCUGUUUUUUGGUGGGGGGUGAAAAAGUUCAUAUGCAGAUAGACAUAAACUUCUUUUGGUAAAAGCUGCCCUCUAUUUUCUUCCAUAGCUGUCCUGUGAAAGUAGGAGUGUGUGUGAAUGGUGAAGCAAAGAGAGGGAGACAUGGGGUCAGGAGAAGAGGGAGCACAGCGUGUGUAAGGAGUUAAUUAGAACCAGAGGGCCUGGGUCUGUGGCUCAUGCCUGUAAUUCCAGCACUUUGGGAGGCUGAGGCGGAGGACCCUUUGCACCACUGCACUCCAGCCUGAGCAACAGAGUGAGACCCAGUCUCAGAACAAAAAAACAGAAACAGGAGAAAAACCAUCCAUAUAAGCAGAGAGGUACUUAAAAUGUUGCAAAACUAAAUUCCAAAUAACGUCUGUGGAUUCUACAAAAUCUAGGAAAUACACAUUUCCAAUAAAUCUUUGUACAUUCAUCUGUAAUGCAUUUCCUUAGGUGAUUUGAGUCCUUUAGGAGUAAAUCUGUAUCUUUAGCUGUCCCAGAAGUAAUCACAGGCGUUCAUUGUCUAUUCAAUGACAAAGUAUUGUGAACUAUUCUAUGAAAUAAUAAAAUAUCAGUGUUUUCAGAGUACAUGGCCUUUUCAGUAGCCUUUUCAGUGUGGUGGCACGUGUUCCCAGUUCUGCCAGUGGAUAUUGUUAUCUUUGAUCUACAACUGGGAAGCUAAAACCCAGAAAGUUACUUGUCUAAGACUAUACACCUCCAAGAAGGCAGAACUGUGGCUGCUAUUUCCAACUUUCUAGUCUCUGAACAUGUAAUAAAGAACUGAUUUCCAAUUUACAAUGAAUAAUAGAAUUUACAAUGAAUAAUAUAAUUUACUAUAAUAUAACAACCGACCAAAGUGUGCUGUUUUAUUACCAAUUUCUCUCUCUCUCUCUCUCUCUCUUUCUUUUGUGACAGAGUCUCGCUCUGUUGCCCAAGCUGGGGUGCAGUGGUGAGGUCUCGGCUGACUGCAACGUCCGCCUCCCAGGUUCAAGCGAUUCUAACUGCGUCAGACUCCCCAGUAGCUGUGACUACAGGCAGGCGCCACUACACCUGGCUAAUUUUUGUAUUUUUAGUAGAGAUGGGGGCUCACCAUGUUGGUCAGGCUGGUCCCAAAUUCCUUGCCUCAAGUGAUUUGCCCGCCUCGGCCUCCCAAAGUGUUGGGAUUACAGGUGUGAGCCACUGUGCCCACCCCAAUUUGCUUCUUUGGUGUUUGUAAUUCUGCUUGGUCAACCGUAACUUGCAGAAAUUGAUUGGAACAUAUAUUUUGAUAAAGUAUUUGAAGGUAUUCCUGAAGUUUGAUUUAUGUUUCAGCUGCCUAUACUGAAAGAAAAUAAACUGCUGUGUAUUCCAUAAUUUAAAAAUAAUUGUUCACUUUAGUGACAUUUUGUAGUUGGAUAGUGGAGACAAAAGAUGAUACUCUCUGUGAUCUUCAAUCUAAACAUUUAUGUUAGGACAAAUUAUUCCCAUAUCUGUAUAAUGCUAUAUUUCUUCCCUGACCUCUACAAAUCACAGAAGCACCGUUAUUCGAUCUUGUUCUCUUUUUCAAAAAAUUCUACCUUCCAAGGUGGUGGUUCUUUAAGUUUAUAAGUGAACCAUAAAGUAGUUGGAAACCUGGAUCCCAGGAUGGUAGAAACAUGAAGCUUGUUUAUUCCAAGGACAGUUUUAUAUAUGUAUAGGACUUUAUUAUCCUUACUAUAUACAGCAUUUUAAUGGGGAGGGGGAACCAGGAGCAUUGUUGG